GGGAACUCUAUAUAUACCAAUAGAUUUGAUAGGAAGAAGAAAAAAAAAAGGAAACCUAGAGAUAAAAAUAGCUAAGCGGCGCAGCAGAAACUCCAGAAAACAAAAAAUAGUUGCACCUCUUUCUUUUUCCCCUUCAACUCAUCAUCAUCUUCAACCCACAAAAUAUCCAUGAAAACCACCAUCUUUCCUCCAUAAAACCCACUUGAAAAUAGCCUUUUAAACCUAGCAAAAACCACUCAAAAACAAGCGCAAAUCCAUCGUCAAACUCUAAGAAAAACUGUCCAAAACCCAGCAUUAAACUACAACCAAAUCAGCACCGAAAAUGCCCCAAAAUCCAUCUCCAAAGUGACUCAAAAUGUCACCCGAACCACCCCCAAAACUCAGCAAAAUCAGCCCCAAAAAUCAUCCGCAAAGCAGCUCCAAAGAGCAGCCAAAUCAGCUGAGAAAUUACUGGUAAAAAAACCUGUCCAAAACCCCCCAGAAAAGCUGUCCAAAAUUAGUGCCAAAAAUAUGACGAAAAACCGUCUGAAGCCAGCCACAAGCCUCCAUCAAAAUUACCACUUUAUACUCGAAAUAGUUGUCCAAAUCUAUUCGAGUCGGUAUCAUUUUCGUGUAGAUCUUGGUUUGAGUUCGCCAUUGAAGUUACGGUCGAUUGGUUCUAUAGCAUUUGAAGGUCCCUGUUUUGCUCUUGCUUCGGUCAAAUUGUAGUUGUUGUUUCCUUGUAUUUUGACAUUGGCAGCGGUGCUUCAAUGUAAAGGAAGUUUCCAGUAAUAAAGUCCAAUAUUUAAACUUAUGUUAUCUCAAUUUUGUCCUGCUAGCAUAAUGAAUGAUUCUGGUUAUUUGUUGCUAUUCCAUGUUAUCUUGUCUUUCGUAGUAGUCUUAAUUAGCUGGUCUUUUGUCUUAAGCUAUGACUUGAUUUGUGAGAUUCAUGCUCAGCUCAUUAUUUACAACUUAAUAUCUGUUAUAUGUUGAUUUGCUAUCUCCCCUUGGUAUAGUUAAUACAUUAGCAUCAUGGUUCAUUAAAGAAGCUACUGUUUGAAUUCAUGGGAAGUGUAGGACAGUUAAUCGUGUUGGGUUUUUGUAAUUCACGGGUUUAUGGUAAUUGAUUUAAUUUUGGGCUUUACUUUAUCCUUACCCUUUAAUAUUCGGGUCAUUAGCACUUGGUUUGAGAUAAGCGAUUUGGCCUAUUUUACAUAACUGAUAAUUGCUAGAUUAGUCUAAAUAGCUUAAUAAACUUCAUGUAUUCCAAACACCUCCAAUUUCAUAAGUCAUGGCCUUACAACAACCUUAAAACUAGUUUAGGAAAAUAAUCACACAACUGCAGUUUGCUUUAGGCGCGGUUAAUAAAUCAUUGUGGCCAUGUGUACGGUUCCCGUAGCAUGGUCACGAUACAUAUUUUCCAAUUCAGGUGUGCAUUUUAUAUGACCCGACCACAACUUAAAACAAUAUAAAAAUAAAUAUGUUGUAAAUCGCGGGUGCAUUUCAUGUGGCGCAGUUUGCACUAUGUACCAAAGACAAGUGUACGACAUCGUGACUUGUUCCAAAAAUAAUUCCAUAAAUAAAUAAAAGCAGUUAUAGAGUUAAAAAUACACACACAUUUAAAAUAUGUAAUAAAUCAGAUAAUUAGGCCAAUUAUCAAUAGUUGAGCGACCGUGCUAAAACUACGGAAUCCGGGAGUGCCUCACACCUUCUCCCGGUUUAACAGAAUUCCUUACCGAUCCUCUGUGUUCGCGGACCAAAACUAGAGUCAAUUUCCUCGAUUUGGGAUUUAAAAUAAAUCGGUGACUUGGGACACCAUAAACUAUUCCAAGUGGCGACUCUAAAAAAUUAAAUAAAUAAUCUCAUUUCGAUUAAUGUCACUUUAAUUGGAAAAACUUUCCUAUACCCGUCAGAAAAAAGGAGGUGUGACAGCUCUGGCGACUCUGCUGGGGAAACAAACCUAGAACUUAUGGUUUAGAGUUCAGAAUUCGAGCUUAGAAUAACUGUUAUAGUUGGCUUUUAUUUAUUAUCUAAUUUUUUUUACGUGUUUUAGCUUGAUGUGCUAAAUGCCACUUUUUACCGCUUUGAUAUUAUAUGAACUGUAUAUAAACUAUUACAAAAUCCUUCUUCUCUCUGAGUCUUCUAAAUCUUCUGGGAAGUGCACACUGGCGUGACUUCUUUUCUGUUAGAGUCAUACCCUAAUUUAGAACGAGGAUCAGAUCAGUUACAAAGCCGGAUGGCCUUUUGGUUAUCGGUACGUUGCCCCUUUCCCCCCCCCCCCCCUCCCCGGCUCGAGUUGUCUACUCGGGUAAGCCAGGAGAAUAAUACACCCAGGUUUUAAACCUAGAAUAACAUAGCCUCAUGCCGGAUUCCUAGUAGGAACGCUUGCAUUUGACUUUGGGGACUCAACACAGGGUUUGGUUCCGUCUAGGACAGGUGUAACCGAAAUAAAAAGACCAUCCUGAUGCAUCUUACGUGCUACUUGCGCAUCUGUUUGUUUUGGCUUACGUGCUGACUGGCUUUUAGAAUGGGAAAAGAAAAAUAAAAAAAUAGAGAAAAUAAUAAAUAAAAACAAGAGUGAGAGGUAGGUAUUAAAAAAAUCAAAACUCUGCCGAAAUUUUGAAGAAAAUAAAAGAGAAAGAAAAUAAGAUAAUGUUUUCAAAAGAUCAUGUUUCCCUUGUUCCGUCAAAACAGACUGAACUACGCGGGUCUAAUUCUCAUCGGAUGUGAGAUACGUAGGCAAACUUUAUCGGUUCCAGCCCCAAUUUCUAAAAAUUCAAAAAUAUUUUCCUUUAAUUCCUUCAUUAGAAGCAUUUCCUUAGAAAAUUCAAAAGAAAAAGAUUUUUAAACUCAAAAAAAAUAGUUUUCUUCUUUCUGAAGUCUUUCAUACGGAAAAAAAAAAACAACAAAAUCCAAAAUACAGAUUUCCUUUAUUUUAAAGUAUUUUUCCCAAAAAUUCAAAAAAAAAUCAAAAAAAAAGAAUCCAAAAAAUAUUCUUAUCCUUCUUUAAAAAUCUUUCUUUCGUAAAUAUCAUAAAAUAAUUGAAACGUUGAAGUCCAAAAAUAUUUUUGUUUUUCUUUAGAAGUACUUUUGUAAUAAAAAAAAACUCAGAAAUCCAAAAUAUUUUCUUAGCCCCUCUUUCGAAAAUUAAGAGGCAACAUCCAAAAUUCAAAAACAUUUUCUUUCUUCUUUAGAAAAAGAGAAAACAAAUGAAAAUUCAAAAAAUAAUCUUUUUACUUUUGAAAUUCCCAAAGUUCAAAUCAAAGAAAAGGAAUUUUUAGAAGUCUUUCUUUCAAAAAAAAAAUCAAAAUUAAAAAUCCAAAAAAUAUUUCUUUUUUUAUUUUAAAGCAUUUUUUUUAAAACUCCAAAAUAAAUACAAAAAAAAUCAAAAAAAUAUAUAUGUUUUUCUUUUUCUUAAAGCUUUCAUGGUCCGAGUUUUAUAAAAAGUAAACAAAAAAAGUGAGUUAGUUUAAUUACUCUAUUCUCGAUCUUCCUGAACUAUGCAAGAUCUUAUUCAUGCUGCAUCAUGAUACUUAGGCAAUCCCCAUCGGAUUCGAUCAUAGCUAUAAAAUAAAUUGAGUGAAAAAUAAACUAAAAAAAUUGAGUGAAGAAGAAAGAAAUGAGUGAAAAAAAAGGAAUGACAAAACAAAAAGAGAACAAGAGAGUGCCAAAUAUAAAAGAGCGACAGAAACAAAAGGAAAAAAAUCAAAAGUGAUUAAAGAGAGGUAGAAAUAAAAGAAAAGAGGUACAUACUGAAAGGAUUAGUUGAGGCCGGGAUGAAACAUGCAACCGUUAGUUAAGGCCCGGAUGAAACAUGCAACCGUUCAAACACAUGGUAGAAGCAUUUAACUGUUAGGUGCAUUGCAUCCCAACUUGCGAUUUCCUAUAUGCUAAAUGUUUCAAAACUAACAAGGUUGUUGGGUGUGCAAAUUAGCCAGGUUCUGUUCAGGUGGUUAGUUUUGUUGAUAAUCUGGCUUUCCAUCCUUACUUCACAAGAUCCAAAGGCAUGGUUCCUAUGGCCUCGGUCCCACCAUACUAUUAUCCCUUUCAAGAUGUUGCUUAUGUUGUGGCACUGCCUCCCUACGCGGUGAUGAGCAUGCAACCUUACAUGCGGCCACAACAUUAUACACAAAAACAAGAUCCACCUCCCAGAAAUGCCCAUCCUUGCCAAGCUUCAAAUAAUCCCAACCAAAUGUCCCCCAGUACAACCCCCCUCCCCCCAAGAGAGCCUUUCAGAAAGAAUCAGUUCACCCCUAUUGGUGAAUCAUAUUCGGGCUUGUUCCAAAAGCUAGUCAGGCGAGGUCUGCUGUAGCCAGUGGCCCCAAACCAGCCAAACCCCGAGUCUCCCUCACACCAAGCGAUGCCAUAUGUGAAUACCACUCCGCAAUGGGACACAGUACAGAGGGCUGUUGGACCCUCAAAAGGGCAAUUGAAGACUUAAUCGAAGCUGAAAUAAUCGUUCUUCGGGACGAAAAAGGCUCCUAAUGGACAAAUAAUCCAUUGCUUGCUCACAACACCAGGCCAAUAGUCGGAAUGAUUCGUGAAAAGAGGAAUUUGAUCCAGCACUAAAGGCCAUUGCAGCCAUUGUCGAGACAGAAGAAAAUCCAAAAAGCGAUCGACAAGCUUGAAAGUUCCCCAUCAGAUGGGAGUCUCGAUAGCCAGUCUUGCUAUAUUUUCUGCGUUCGGAUUAUCUCAGGGUGUGAUCCGGAUGUUUCACUUUCCGAUGUAAACCCUUAUAUCUUUAAAAUUCAAAAAAAAUCAAAUAAAAAAGAAAUCAUUUCAUUACCUAGGAAUGUCUCUUUUCUUAUUGUAACUUUUCUUAUUCUCUUUUUAAUUCUGUUAAAUGCAGAUUUCAAUAACAUGACAUGCUUGCGGACUUCAUGCCCAGAUCCUAAAACGCUGUCAGACCUCGAAAUAAUGAAUCAAAAAAUAGAUUGUAAUGAAGAUAAGUUUUAGGAAAUAAAACAAAGAGUUGGAACAACUAAAGAAAAAUUGGCUCCAGAUUGUAAAGAUCCAUACAUGGUAACAAGGGUACUUCCAAAAAGAGCGUUGUACCUGGGAAACAUCCAAAGAAAUGUCCCUAAAACAACUACCAAUGUAGGUUCAGUCAAAAGGUACUAUGUUUGAUCCUCUAUAUAGUAUUAACGCUCCGAUUGGGAUGAAGAAGGCUUUUAUUUUCGCUAACUAAAUACCAUUAACCCUUUUUUAAUCUCUUUGAGCCGGUUCCCUUUCUUUGAUUACCCUCUUUGGAAUCUGAAAGUGUUAUUGAAAAAAAAUGAAAGAAUGAAAUGAAAAAUGAAAAACAAAAUGAAAAAAGAGAAGAAAAAGAAAGAUACAAAAAAGGGAAGAAAAGGCAAAAAGAAAAUGAAAUGAAAAAUGAAAAAAAAAAGAGGAAAAAGGAAAGGAAAAAGAAAGAGAAAACAAAAGAAAAUAGAAAAACAAAAGAAAAAAAACAAAGUUCCUUGAACUUGUUCAACUUGAUUCCAAAAGGAUACGUAGGCAGACUCUCUCUGGGGUUCAGUCACACCAAAAUAAAAAUCCAAAUUCCUCUAAUUUGAAACUGGGGCAGAAGUUAUAAUGGUUUGACGAUGGUUUCGCCCGAAAGGUUCCAAAGUCAUAACUCUAUCCAAAUCCUUUUUACCCAAACCUUAUUCAAGUCCUUCUGAUCAAUCGGCAAAGAUGUUCAAAAUGGGAGGAUACAGUUACUUGGAUCUGACACAACAAAAUGAGAGAAUUAAAAUGAAAGUCUUAUCGGUGAAAACUCUCACGGGCAACAUAAGGUGAUGGUAAGCAGAGAAAUGGAAAAUAAGAGAGUCUUGUUAGUGAAAACUCGCAAAGAGCACUAUAAUACGAUGGUGAGAAGAGAAAUAAGAGUGGUCAGAUAGUGAAAACCCGCAAAGGGCACCACUGAUCAAAAAAGAGGAUAUUCGGUCACUGACAUUGACACAGUCCUGGGCAUGGUUUCUCGAUUUCGAGGCAAAAGUUGUGAUGAAUUUCUGAGAGUCAGACGGUUUGCACGGAUCAGGCAUCCAGUCCAAAAGGCGUGUCAUAUUCGUUGAAGUCCGCAUGUACUCUAGAUAAGUCCUUCUUUCCUUUCCUCAAAAGGGACGUCUUGUAUAAAUUCAUUUGUCCAUUCCAUUGUUUAUUUUUCCUUUGAAUCCCUUUCGGUCUAACUCUAUUUUGAAACUGAGACAAAGAAGGUUUACAGGGUUCUCAUUUGAUACAAGCUAAUAUGCAAAAAAGACACCCAGCCUCGUCAGGGGCAUCAAGUCGACCUCGACCGGCCAUGACGGCCAAUGCUUCGAAAUCAAAUCGAAGUGCCUAUAAAGGUAAAUGAAGUUGAAAAGGUUAAGUUCCACGUGGCUAAUAGUCUCGGCAAAAAUUUGAAAAAGCCAAGGGAUCCCAAAUGCUCUGAAACUAAAGUUGGAAUAAAGAAGCCAAAAAUGAAAGGCCUAUGAAGGCGAAAUAAAGUUGGAAAAGAUUAAGUCCUACGCGACUAGCCGUCGCGACAAAGUUUGAGGAGCCAAAAGUUCCUCAAUGCUCCGAAGUUUUAAAAAAACAACAAGUCAGAAGGGAAGGGCCUAUAGAAGCAAAAUAAAGUCAAAAAGGUUGAGUCCCAUCGACCAAUCGUCAUGCAAAUUGUGGAAAAGCUAGAGUUUCUACAGGGUCAGAAAUGCAAUCGGUAUUCAGGAAACAAUCAAGCCGAGAUCAAGUGGUUAAAAUAAUCAAGGCCACAAAACCAACCACCGUUUUAAACUGACAAAUUGUUUUUUGUUUGAAAAAUAAGAAACAGGUGCAAUGCACAAGCAAACUUGCAAGAAGCAGGUGCUACCAAAAAGAAACUGCGCAAGAGCUAAAAAACAGCUUUGCAGCAACAACUCCAAAAAGGGAAGUCUCCUCCAAAAUUCUUUCCGGCAUUUACUCAUUCUAUGAAAUAAAAAAAAUAAGAAAAAAAACGAUGAUGAAAAUAAAUAAAGAAAAAAAAAGAAGAAGAGAAACUCAAAAUCAUAGUAGUAUAGGGUCUCCAAUUCCUAGCUGUGUCUUUUCCAAAAUAGGGUCCCACUUCCUAGUUGAUGCGGGCAUAACCCGAUGACUUUUCCAACAUAGAGUCUCACUCCCUAGUUGAUGCCGGCAUAACCCCAUGACUUUUUCAACAUAGGGUCCCACUCCCUAGUUGAUGUCGGCAUAACCCCAUGACUUUUCCAACAUAGGGUCUCACUCCCUAGUUGAUGUCGGCAUAACCCGAUGCCAGCAAAACCUAAUGCCAACAUAGGGUAACCACUCCCUAGUUGAUGCCAGCAUAACCUGAUGCCCACAUAGGGUCACCAUUCCCUAGUUGAUGCCGACAUAGGGUCUCCACUCCCUAGUUGAUGUCAGCAUAACCUGAUGCCAACAUAGGGUCACCACUCCCUAGUUGAUGAUUUUCCAACAAUAGAGUUUCCAAUCCCUAGUUGAUUUUAUUUUAGAUAUAUGGGUCUCCACUCCUUAAUAUCUUUUUCCCAAGGAUACACAAUCUCGACAUUUUAUUUGCUUUUAAUAAUGAAGUAGUAUAGAGUUUUGCUACCAAUAACUCACGAAAGUUUCCUAGUGAAAACUGGGGCAGAAAUAUUUUGUUCGUUUGUUUGUUUGGGUGCCUGAGCAGGUUUUACCUCGAGGCACGGGUUCGAGACGACUAAAAGAAGAAGUCUCAAUCCAAAAUAAAAGAAAAAGAAGAAAAGAAAUGAAGUGAACACAAUUCAGAAGCGGAGAAAAGAUGUGGACUGCUCAAGAAAUGAUUAAUAUCACAAGCUUUGCAUGUCACGCCUUGAUCCGAGAAGCUGAAAAGAAUGAACCAGCACCUAUAGCUAACAAGCAUCAAGAUUCGGAUCAGAGUCUACGUGAAGAACGAGCUAAGACUCAAGAUCAAGCUUCAAAAGACUCAUAGAUAGGAAUCCUGUAACUUGUAGCUGAUAGGCUUAGUUAGUUUUUUUCAUUUUGACUUUGAUGUAAUAGCAGGACCACGGACCGGAUCCUCGACGGGACCUCACUCGACACUCGAACUUGGCAUUCCAUCAUUCUCCUUGAACUACACGCGACCUGAUUCUCAUAUGACCCAGGAUAUGUAGGUUGUCCAAAACAAGGACUCGGUUGCACUCUUUUCUUUUAGUUUCUUCCCUUUUAAUAAUAAAAAAUAAAUAAUGGUUUGGUCAAAAAUUAGUCAUAUCGCUCAUCUUUUCUUUGCCUGAAAACUCUUCAUGUUUCCAAGCAACGAGGGGCAUGCUGUAAGCACCUAAUUUUUGACCAUAUUUUAAUUUUUCACCACUUUUUCGUAUGUAAAUAUUUUUUAAGUUUAACCUACGCAUUUUAGCUCUUGUUUUACCUUUUUAUAGGUUUUACUUAGAAAUUGAAAAUGAUGAAAAAGAGUCACAUUUUUUUGAUAAAUUUUGUUUUCAUUUACAAAAGAAAAAGAACAAAUUAAAAUUUUGUUAAGACUACUAAUAUGAAAUUUUCUUUAGUAGAUUUCUGUAUUUUUCUAGUCUAAACGUAUUAAUGUAGUAUUUUGAUUUUAGAUUAUCUUGAAAAGAAAGAAUUAAUAAAAAAUGAUGAUACAAUUAGGUUCUGCCACUUAAAAUAACUAGCAAGAUUCUAUUAGACCAUGAUCAUAUUUUGUCUUGAUUCUCGUGGACACACUCACAUUUUUCUUUUAUAUAUUUUUCCUCCUCACAUGUUACACUACACUUUUCAUUUCUUAAUUUACUAAGCUCACGUACUAACAGUUAAUUCAAUUGGAGUCACUCACCUCACGCGCACUCAUGCUACAAUGCUAGGAGUCCAUAUUUUGUUCUUAUCUUUUUUGGUAUCUAACAAAUUGUGAGCGCCACAGGAUCUUCCACCCACUUUCUCCACACAUAUCCAUUGCACAUAAUAUUCCCUCCAGCUCAUAUAACUCUGGCCCCAAAAAAAAUCUUGAGGGCACUCUAUAUAUAUCAACAGAUUUGAUAGAAAGAAGAAGAAAAAAAAAGGAAACCUAGAGAUAAAAAUAGCUAAGCGGCGCAGCAGAAACUCCAGAAAACAAAAAAUAGUUGCACCUCUUUCUUUUUUCCCUUCAACCCAUCAUCAUCUUCAACCCACAAAAUAUCCAUGAAAACCACCAUCUUUCCUCCAUAAAACCCACUUAAAAACAGCCUUUUAAACCUAACAAAAUCCACUCAAAUCCAUCGUCAAACUCCAAGAAAAACUGUCCAAAAAUAAAAUUAAACUACAACCAAAUCAAACCCGAAAACGCCCCAAAAUCUAGCUCCAAAGUGACCCAAAACGUCACCCAAACCACCCCCGAAACCACCUCAAAACAGGCCCCCAAAACUCAGUAAAAUUAGCCCCAAAAAUCAUCCACAAAACAGCUCCAAAGAGCAGCCAAAUCAGCUGCGAAAUUGCUGAAAAAAACCAGUCCAAAACCCCCAGAAAAGUUGUCCCAAAAUCAGUGCCAAAAAUCUGACAAAACACCAUCCGAAACCAGCCACAAGCCUCCAUCGAAAUGACCCCUUUAUACUCGAAAUAGUUGUCCAAAUCUAGUCGAGUCAGUAUCAUUUUCGUGUAGAUCUUGUUUUGAGAUCGCCAUCGAAGUUAUGGUCGAUUGAUUCUAUAACAUUUGAAGGUCCUUGUUUUGCUCUUGCUUCGGUCAAAUUGUAGUUGUUGUUUCCUUGUAUUUUGACAUUGGCAGCGGUGCUUCAAUGUAAAGGAAGUUUCCAGCAAUAAGGUCCAAUAUUUAAACUUAUGUUAUCUCAAUUUGGUCUUGCUAGCAUAGUCAAUGAUUCUGGUUAUUUGUUGCUAUUCCAUAUUAUCUUGUCUUUCGUAGUAGUCUUAAUUACCUAGACUUUUGUCUUAAGCUAUGACUUGAUUUGUGAGAUUCAUGCUCAGCUCAUUAUUUACAACUUAAUAUCUGUUGUAUGUUGAUUUGCUAUUUCCCCUCGGUAUAGUUAAUGCAUUGGCGUCAUGGUUGAUUAAAGAAACUAUUAUUUGAAUUCAUGGGAAGUGUAGGAUAGUUAAUCGUGUUGGGUUUUUGUAAAUUUUCGGGUUUAUGGUAAUUGAUGUAAUUUUGGGCUUUACUUUAUCCUUACCCUUUAGUAUUCGGGUCAUUAGCACUUGGUUUGAGAUAAGUGAUUUGGCCUAUUUUACAUAAACAGAUAAUUGCUCGAUUACUCUAAAUAGCUUAAAAACUUCAUGUAUUCCAAACACCUCUAUUUCCAUAAGUCAUGGCCUUACAACAAACUUAAAACUAGUGUAGGAAAAUAAUCACACAACCGUAGUUUGCUUUAGGCGUGAUUAAUAAAUCAUCCUGGUCAUGGGUACGGUUCCCGUGGCAUGGUCAUGAUAUAUAAUUUCCAAUUCGGGUGUGCAUUUUAUAUGACCCGACCACAACUAAAAACAAUAUAAAAAUAAACAUGUCGUAAAUCGCGG
rnacentral:lncRNA from 1 species